rnacentral:rRNA from 1 species
GACGAACGCUGGCGGCGUGCUUAACACAUGCAAGUCGAACGGAAAGGCCCUGCUUUUGUGGGGUGCUCGAGUGGCGAACGGGUGAGUAACACGUGAGUAACCUGCCCUUGACUUUGGGAUAACUUCAGGAAACUGGGGCUAAUACCGGAUAGGAGCUCCUGCUGCAUGGUGGGGGUUGGAAAGUUUCGGCGGUUGGGGAUGGACUCGCGGCUUAUCAGCUUGUUGGUGGGGUAGUGGCUUACCAAGGCUUUGACGGGUAGCCGGCCUGAGAGGGUGACCGGCCACAUUGGGACUGGGAUACGGCCCAGACUCCUACGGGAGGCAGCAGUGGGGAAUAUUGCAUAAUGGGCGGAAGCCUGAUGCAGCAACGCCGCGUGCGGGAUGACGGCCUUCGGGUUGUAAACCGCUUUCGCCUGUGACGAAGCGUGAGUGACGGUAAUGGGUAAAGAAGCACCGGCUAACUACGUG